rnacentral:rRNA from 1 species
UACGAAGGGGGCUAGCGUUGCUCGGAAUCACUGGGCGUAAAGCGCACGUAGGCGGGUUCUUAAGUCAGGGGUGAAAUCCUGGAGCUCAACUCCAGAACUGCCUUUGAUACUGGGAAUCUCGAGUCCGGGAGAGGUGAGUGGAACUGCGAGUGUAGAGGUGAAAUUCGUAGAUAUUCGGAAGAACACCAGUGGCGAAGGCGACUCACUGGACAUGUAUUGACGCUGAGGUACGAAAGCGUGGGGAGCAAACAGG